ensembl:lncRNA uncharacterized LOC114465248
GUCUGGCCUGAGGACACGUUGUCCACACGUGGAGACGACAAGUGAUGAUCAGAUAAAGAAAGAGUGUUUUCACUCUGACAUGUCGUCUCUGUUUGGUCUCAGGAGGAAGAGUUUAAGGAGGAAGAGUUUAAGGAGGAAGAGUUUAAGGAGGAAGAGUUUAAGGAGGAAGACUCUGGCUCUCCAUCCUCGUGGAUCAUCGACCCCAGUCCGACAACAAACAUGUUUUCCUUGUCCCAGUCCGAGCACAGUUCCCAUACAGACGAACGGGACAAAGAUUCAGCGGGAGGUGAGGGGCCCGAACACCGCGAGGUGCUGAGCGUGCUCGCCAAGCUGCAGCAGGAGACGCCACGUCAGGGCCAGGAGGGCCACAAGAGCCGGGAGGGCCACAACAGCCAGGAGGGCCACAACAGCCAGGAGGGCCACAACAGCCAGGAGGGCCACAAGAGUCAGGAGGGCCACAAGAGCCAGGAGGGCCACAAGAGUCAGGAGGGCCACAACAGCCAGGAGGGCCACAAGAGUCAGGAGGGCCACAAGAGUCAGGAGGGCCACAAGAGCCAGGAGGGCCACAAGAGCCAUGAGGGCCACAAGAGCCAGGAGGGCCGGGAACGCUCCAACUUUGAGGAUUUCGACUUUCUGUCCAAGUUUUGUAUCUUCAGCGGAGAGAAGUUAGCGGAGUACAGCAGAGUGUUCCAGACUGUGGACUUGGACCAGGACGGGUUCCUCUCUUUCCCACAGGUUUUAGAGGCACUUAAACGCAUCGUUCCAGCUGAGCUGCUGUCUGAUGAUGAACAGGUUUACGUCUACAGGAUCCUAGAGAUGGUUGACUUCAGGGUGAUGGAUGGACUGGUCGACCUCAGGCUGUUUGCCGUCAUCUCCAGCCUGGCUGAGAAGAUCUCAUCUAUGGAAUGGUCCUGUCUCCACAUGACUGUUCUUCAAUGUUCAUGUCUGUGUUCAACCACCUUCAGCUACAGUGGGGGUCCCCGCUCUCUGGGACCUUUAUUUUGGGGGUCGUGGCUUGAAAAGGUUGAGAACCACUGGUGUAGCGUCCAGAACUCAGACGGCAGCACAAAACGAGAGGACGUAAAUCAGGACAGCCUCAGCCUGGCUGAAAGGAAGCUCUCAGUCCAGACCUUGACCAACAGGACGUCCGUGGUCCUGUUGUGGUCCAGAGCCACAGACACUCAUAGGAGAUCACAGAUGCACAGAUUGUGGAAAAGGUGCUGAAAUGGGUGAAGAGUUGCAUAGAAGAGUGAAAAUAGGCUGGAAAUAUGAGGUUAAAAGUGACAAUAAUGGGUCAACAUAUGUGUCAUUAGGUAAAAAAGUGGUAGAAAGGUUUUUAUAAGUGCUGAAAAUGUCUGGAAAGUAGAAAAAAUGUGCAGAAAAGACAUUGAAAUGUGAUGGAGAAAUGUCAGAAAUGGGAGAAAUGUAGCAAAAAUACAUUAAAAGGAGCAAAAAUACAUUAAAAGGAGCAAAAAUAUGACAAGAAAAAGUGAUGAAAAUUGGUUAAAAUAUAGAAAGUUUGGUGUAGUUGCAGAAAAACGGUAAAAAUAAACAAAAAUUAGCUCAAAUUGUUCA